rnacentral:rRNA from 1 species
AGUGAACGCUGGCGGUAGGCCUAACACAUGCAAGUCGAACGGCAGCACAGUAAGAGCUUGCUCUUACGGGUGGCGAGUGGCGGACGGGUGAGGAAUACAUCGGAAUCUACUUUUUCGUGGGGGAUAACGUAGGGAAACUUACGCUAAUACCGCAUACGACCUACGGGUGAAAGCAGGGGAUCUUCGGACCUUGCGCGAUUGGAUGAGCCGAUGUCGGAUUAGCUAGUUGGCGGGGUAAAGGCCCACCAAGGCGACGAUCCGUAGCUGGUCUGAGAGGAUGAUCGGCCGCACUGGAGCUGGGACACGGUCCAGACUCCUACGGGAGGCAGCAGUGGGGAAUAUUGGACAAUGGGCGCAAGCCUGAUCCAGCCAUACCGCGUGGGUGAAGAAGGCCUUCGGGUUGUAAAGCCCUUUUGUUGGGAAAGAAAAGCAGCAGGUUAAUACCCCGCUGUUCUGACGGUACCCAAAGAAUAAGCACCGGCUAACUUCGUG